CAGAAAGUCUAACAAAGUGAUUUGUGGGAGGGGCUUUCAGCUUGCCUUCGGGAAGGGUGAGAGACUGAGGUCAGCCAUGCAGAUAGCCAACCAUGUCUAUGUGACGAAGCUGCAAGAAAGACCAUGAAACUCAAUGUUCCUAUGAACUUCCCUGAUUGGCAAUACUCCAUGCAUAUUGUCAUAUGUUGUUGCUGGGAAAGCAUUGCUGGAGAGGACUACUGGAAGUUCUAGCUUUGGAACCUUCCUGGACUCUGCCUGUGCAUCUCUUCUCUUGGCAGAUUUUAAUCUUUAUCUUUUCAAUACAACAAACCAUAACUUUCAGUAUAAUGGUAUCCAGUGAGUUCUAUGGAUCCUUUUCUAUGAAUUCUUGAAGCUGAGGGUGGUCUUGGAUACUGUGUUCUCACAGAGUGUAUAAGCUAAUUGGUAUCAGCAUCCUCGUUUUACAAAUGGGGGAUGGAAGCACAGAGAUGUUAAGGGAGUUGCUCAUUGUCAUACAACCAGUACCAGUGGUUCCAACCUCAACUGCCCUCAGUCAAAUGGGGGUUGUACUUAUGUAUCAAUGUAUUUUAAAGUUAUCCCAGUGAUUCCAAAGUACAGGCAAAUUUGAGGACACCUGAGCUGGAAACUGUGCCUUAGAUGAUUAAAGUACACGGCUGCGUUAGUUGACUUUGAGGAAAUCCUUUGGCUCUUAAAGCAGUGGGCUUCGACCCAAAUAGCAGUAUUUUAUGGAGCAGCCUGAGGCAAAAUAAUACUGUUUAACAGUAGAUUUUCUUUGGCCCUUGAAAAAGACAACUUAUGAUUGAGAAAAAAAGGUUUAAAGACCUCUGGUUCCAAGAAAAGAACCUAUCUUCGUAAUAAGCUUUAAACAAUAAGCCUGAUUUUAUUAUCUCUUUGUAUAUUUUGCUAUAUUUUUAAAAUAAAUAGUGCAUUAACACUGAGAAUGAGAUUUACCACAUUAUCAACUAUCCCAGUAACUAAAACUAUCAAAAAAAAAAAAGCAAAUGCUAUCUCAUAAAAAUUUAACUUCAAACACAUCAUGGAAAUCAACAGAAGAUAAUCAGAGGUGAGCUUGCAGCAUGGGUUGCAUCUCUUCCCGUGGGGAUGGAGUAAGAGUUGCAGUGGACUGCUGUCCGAAGGAAAUAGCAGGAGAAGAAGCCACGCCUCGGACAGGAGGUGUUGGGACACGAUCAUCAUCUUCUUCCAGUUCAUCUUCCAUACCCUGGUUAUCCCGAAUGUCAUCUACCUGCCCCAGCCUCAUGUCCUGCAAUUCAUCAUCUAUAUCCAAAGAUCAGACUCCCUAAAUGACAUACAAGACUUCACAGUUGGCCUCAAGGCACCUGUUCAGAUUAUCUCCUACCCUAUGAAUAUUUCAAACCCAGCAAACGUCAUACAACAGGAUUGGCUAUGGACAGCUCCUCAGAGAAGAUGAAAAAAUACUGGUUGCUACUCUGCUUCCUGACAAGCUUGCCUAAGUGACAGGAAUUGAGAAUCAGCAGUGGUCCAUGUCACAUCGGGUUCCCUUAAUAACUGCUUUUAAUAACAACAACAGAAGAAGAAGAAUUAAUCUGAAACAAUUAAUGAAAAAAUUAAGCACUGGAGCUAUUAAAUAAAGUCCUGAUUGGGGGAAAAAUGCACACAAAAUAUGAAAACAGUACAGCUAAUUAGCUUUUCAUCUGAUAUGACUUUAUAGUAAUGUGGCUUUUUAAUGGACUCUCAAGUGAUUGUUUUACGCUACUAAAGGUGUGUUCAGAUGAUGUGAAUAUCAUUGUGAAUAUGCAAAUAAGCAGGCACUGAUGGGCUACACCUCAAAGGUACUAUUUAGAAGAUAUGUGGAAAGUAGUAUUUCUCCUAAUUUAGAAUGCUCUUUUGCCCUCACCUGAACUUUCCACUGUUGCUAGAGCAGUAAAUCAAGCCCUGCAUCAGGCUCCACGUUCAGUGUGGAAUCUGCUUUAGACUCUCUCUCUCUCUCUCUCUCUGCACCUCCCACUUGUGGUCUCUCUCUCUCUAAAAUAAUUAAAGGAAUCUUUUUUUAAAAAUGUAAAAUUUAAACUUACAAGGCAACACUCAAAAUCUUAUAAAAAAAAAAGAUGGCAUCCAAAUGAUCAUUAAGCACUUAAAAGGAUGCUCCACAUCACUAACCAUUAGGGAACUAAAAAUCAAAAUUACAAUGGAUGCUACUACCUCACACCAUUAGGAUGGCUGCUAUGCAAGACACAAUAAAUAAUAAGUGUUGAGAAGGAUUUGUGCCCCAAUCAUCAUUAAAAUCUUUUUUUGGGGGGGAUCCCUGGGUGGCUCAGCAGUUUAGCGCCUGCCUUUGGCCCAGGGUGUGAUCCUGGAGUCCCAGG